rnacentral:rRNA from 1 species
UACGUAGGGUGCGAGCGUUAAUCGGAAUUACUGGGCGUAAAGAGCUCGUAGGCGGUUUGUUGCGUCGGCCGUGAAAACCUGCAGCUUAACUGUGGGCCUGCGGCCGAUACGGGCAGACUUGAGUUCGGUAGGGGAGACUGGAAUUCCUGGUGUAGCGGUGAAAUGCGCAGAUAUCAGGAGGAACACCGGUGGCGAAGGCGGGUCUCUGGGCCGAUACUGACGCUGAGGAGCGAAAGCGUGGGGAGCGAACAGG